rnacentral:rRNA from 1 species
AGAGUUUGAUCCUGGCUCAGGAUAAACGCUGGCGGCGUGCCUAACACAUGCAAGUCGAACGCCCUACGCAAGUAGGGAGUGGCGGACGGGUGAGGAACACGUGGGUCAUCUACCCUUUGGUGAGGAAUACCACCGGGAAACCGGUGACAAUACCGCAUGCGCUUCGUAAGAAGCAAAGUUUCUCCUCGUGAGAGACGCCAGAGGAUGAGCCCGCGCCCGAUUAGCUAGUUGGUGAGGUAACGGCUCACCAAGGCCACCAUCGGUAGCUGGUCUGAGAGGACGAUCAGCCACACUGGGAUUGAGAACGGCCCAGACUCCUACGGGGGGCAGCAGUGAGGAAUUUUCGUCAAUGGGGGAAACCCUGAACGAGCAACGCCGCGUGCAGGAAGACGGCCUUCGGGUUGUAAACUGCUUUUCUUGGGGAAGAGAACGGACGGUACCUAAGGAAUCAGCCCCGGCUAACUACGUGCCAGCAGCCGCGGUAAUACGUAGGGGGCAAGCGUUGUCCGGAGUUACUGGGCGUAAAGCGCAUGCAGGCGGUCAGCCAAGUUUGAGGUGACAGUCUUCGGCUCAACCGAGGAAGGACCUUGAAAACUGGCGGACUUGAGGGCUUCAGAGGGACAUGGAACUCCAGGUGGAGCGGUGAAAUGCGUAGAUAUCUGGAAGAACACCAAAGGCGAAGGCAGUGUCCUGGGAAGUCUCUGACGCUCAGAUGCGAAAGCCAGGGGAGCGAACGGGAUUAGAUACCCCGGUAGUCCUGGVCGUAAACGAUGACCACUAGGCGUACGAGGUAUCGACCCCUUGUGUGCCGUAUGAAACCCAUUAAGUGGUCCGCCUGGGGAGUACGGUCGCAAGAUUAAAACUCAAAGGAAUUGACGGGGACCCGCACAAGCAGCGGAGCGUGUGGUUUAAUUCGAUGCAACGCG